rnacentral:misc_RNA from 1 species
AAGUCGUAACAAGGUUUCCGUAGGUGAACCUGCGGAAGGAUCAUUAACACGUAUCCAAACGUUAAAACAACCCUGUGAAUAUUAACGCGUGUUCUUGCUUGAUAUUGAUUUGAGAGAAUUCUGUCAGUCGGUGGACGUUGCAAUUGAGCACUAGAUAAAGCACCCUGGUACCUUCUGAUCUAUCACCAAUGUCUGAAAGUGUCAAGUGAUGGUCAGGGUAACGCAGUCAACGAUCGCUGUAGGUCCUCACGACCGGCGACCGGGGUGGAGGCUAACGCCCUUACGUCACCCCUAUGUACCCUCCGGGACUUGGCGAAAGCUGACUCCGUCAUAAAUCGAACAACUGUUAACAAUGGAUAUCUUGGUUCUC